rnacentral:rRNA from 1 species
CUACGGGUCGCUGCAGUGAGGAAUAUUGCACAAUGGGGGGAACCCUGAUGCAGCAACGCCGCGUGGAGGAUGACGCAUUUCGGUGUGUAAACUCCUUUUAUAUGUCAAGAAAAUGACGGUAGCAUAUGAAUAAGCACCGGCUAACUCCGUGCCAGCAGCCGCGGUAAUACGGAGGGUGCAAGCGUUACUCGGAAUCACUGGGCGUAAAGGACGCGUAGGAGGGUUGGAAAGUCAGGUGUGAAAUCCUACAGCUUAACUGUAGAACUACACUUGAAACUUCUAAUCUAGAGUAUGGGAGGGGGAGAUGGAAUUAGUGGUGUAGGGGUAAAAUCCGUAGAUAUCACUAGGAAUACCUAAAGCGAAGGCGAUCUCCUGGAACAUUACUGACGCUAAGGCGUGAAAGCGUGGGGAGCAAACAGGAUUAGAUACCCCGGUAGUC